rnacentral:ncRNA from 1 species
UAGAGUAUUCUUUUAGGGAAUUAAAAUUUGAUCAUGGUUUUAAAUGAUUUAAAAUGGUAUUAUCUAUUUUUGAUUUACUUAGUAGGCAAUAAUAAUUUACCUCGGCAAUUAAUCGCUUGUAUAAUACUUGUUCCAGAAUAAUCGGCUAGGCUUGUUAAAGCUUGUACUUUAAUUGUUGUUUAUUAUAAAUUUAUUUUAUUUUACUUUAUAAUUUUAGGUAAAAUUAGAAUUAUUUUAUUAUUUUAUUUAUAAUUUUAAAUUUUGAUGAAUGAAUUAGAUUAGUACCUAAUUAAACAAAAUUUAAAAAAGCAGGAGUAAAGUUGUAUUUAAACUGAAAAGAUAUUGGCAGAUUUUCUAAAUUAUCUUUGGAGGUUGAGUAAUAAUUGAGAGUCCCCAUUAACUACUUAUUUUUUUUGGCCCAUGUAUGAUCAUUUAUUUUAUUCUUAAGGAUUAUAAUUAUAAUUUUUUUAAUUAUUAAAAUAGAUAUUUACCUGGUUUAUAAAUUAAGUAAAAUUUGACCUACAAUAAUUUAUGUUGUGGAUUUUAUUAUUAGUUUAAUAAAUGAAAAUGUAAAAGACAGUAAAAAAUUUUUUAUGUAUUUUUGAAGAUUACUUAGAAAUGGUACAAAUCAUCCAUCAAUUGCCCAAAGGGGAGUAAGUUGUAGUAAAGUAGGUCUAGGGGAACCUAGACCUAGUAAA